CCUGUAUAGCAGGGCAGCUGCUAGCUAGAGAAAGGUGAUCUAUUGAAAACUAGUUGAAGAAAAGGGGCCAACAGAAGGAGAAAGUGGCUAAUCUCCUACAGAUGGUUAAAUUAUAACCUUCCUGCACAGCUAGGGAUUCCUGAUUUAGAGUGACAGAAUGCAGAUGAGGUAACACUUAGCCCAUGUCCUUGCUGACAUAAGUGUGGUUAUGCCAAUUCUUUACAUCACAUUGGCAAUCUGCUUAAAAUGUUGCUGUUGAGAGAACAAAGAUUAAGUGAACAUGGGGUUUAAACUGGAGAAACACUGGACUAGAAACUGAAGAAUGGGACUGAAGGAACCAACUAAAGGAUCAGAGAAGGGGAUGACUAUCUAUCAUGGAAGGUAGAAGAACUUCCUUGUGCUCCAGAAUGUGGGACAUUCCUUAGGGGUCUGAUCUUCCUUCCUUUGAGGUCAGUGACUAAACAUCUAUUGAGAUCCUAAUGAACAAAUUGGAGAAGAGACAGUCUGUUUCAUCCUUCAGAAGGUGCCCUGGGAGAGAGAGAACAGGAUAUUUAAUUUCAAUAAAACCUAACAGAUCCCAGUAGGACUGGUUGCUAAUACAAGCAAAGAAGCUGACUUCUUUAGAGCUCAGAGAGGUUUGAGUCUCUGUAUUAUGAGCUGGAAGGAAAUUCCAGCUUUCUGCUGAAUGGAUGGUCUAUGAAGCUGGUACAAUCAGUGACACCACAUUUAAAGCAGGGGAGAAACGGACAUUCAAGAGGAUGCCAAGCAGUAUUUAAAGAUUCUGAAAUACUUGUAAAAUGUUCAUCCUGCUAGAAUACAGUGCAAGAAAUGGAAUCCAAUUGCUUCUUCAGGAAAUAUUUAUUACACUGGCCGCCUUUCCAAUCAGACAGAAUAACCCUUUAUAAAUUUAAUCUCAUCUUUGAUUUUUUGUAGAGUUUUCCAGUAGUUUUGCAAAAUGGAAGCAGAGACAACCAUCCAGCUAUCAGUGUCAGUAAGAAAGUGGUGAUGGUGGUGGGGUGGGGGGAGUUUGAGAAAUCAUUUGUAAUAAUGUAAAAGGUGCUAAUUUGGGACAACUUGCCACUUUUUUCCCCUCCUAAGAAUGUAAAAAACCUGAUAGAAUCCUCUAUGGUUUGGAGAUAUGCUUAUUUUUUAAGUGAAAGAAAGUUUGAGUUGUCUCUUUCCAUUGCAUUAAACACAAAGUGGAACUUGGUGUGGAUGAUAGUUUAAGUUUUAUACUA